CAGGAACCUGGGUCUCCGACACCACAGAGGCACCUGCCCUCACAGCCCUGGGCUCCAACUGCACUGGGAAGGGACACGUCAUUCCUGUGAGAAAAACUGGCCUAAUACAGAGGUAUGGUCAUGGAAACUUAGGACUGGGAGAGACCAAGGCUGGUCCCCACCCAACCUCAGCCACUGAGCAGGACACGGGGCACAGGGCAGGGCUUCCUGUUCCUCAGGCAUCUUCCUACUGGGCAUCCUGCUUUCGGCAUAUGUACCGAUACAAGUGCCUCGUGCCCCUUCCUGAAUCACACCUCCCCCCCCGCCCCACUCCCCCCACCUCAGUGAGGCGCCUGGCCCCUGGGAGGUGCUACACGGCCGUCCAACAAACGACAGUGACCUGUGCACAGCAAAGUGUGAUGGGACUGAAAAGCUCACACCAGCGAAAGCUGGAGGCUGAGCUGCACACGUUACUUGGCUUUGCUGCCUUUACCAUAUCCUGGUGACUUGAAGCAGGAGGUCAGUGGCUCGAAGAUAGCCCCAGUGGGAUUGGCCGUCUCUCGUUGAGGCAACUGAUCCUUCACUUCCUGCAGACCACCUCUCUUUGUGAACCUCUCCUACCGCAGACGCCGCGACCCGGAGCUUCUCCUCUCCUCCUCACAACCGCGCCUCUUCCUGGCCUCACACCUCCUCGGAGAGUGAGUCCCAAAGAGCCCCACGCUCAGCUGGAACUUGAGCUUCUAAGCUGAAGACCUCCUAGGGGAUCUCAGACCAGACCGACUUGAUCUAGUGACCGAGAACCUCCGAAGCUGAUGGUAUCAUAAAAAGC